UACGUAGGGUGCAAGCGUUAAUCGGAAUUACUGGGCGUAAAGAGCUCGUAGGCGGUCUGUCGCGUCGGAUGUGAAAAUCCAGGGCUCAACCCUGGACCUGCAUUCGAUACGGGCAGACUAGAGUUCGGCAGGGGAGACUGGAAUUCCUGGUGUAGCGGUGAAAUGCGCAGAUAUCAGGAGGAACACCGGUGGGCGAAGGCGGGUCUCUGGG
rnacentral:rRNA from 1 species